rnacentral:rRNA from 1 species
GACGAACGCUGGCGGCGUGCUUAACACAUGCAAGUCGAGCGGUAAGGCCCUUUUGGGGGGUACACGAGCGGCGAACGGGUGAGUAACACGUGGGUGACCUGCCCUCAGCUCUGGGAUAAGCCUGGGAAACUGGGUCUAAUACUGGAUAUGACCUUUCCUCGCAUGGGGUUGGGUGGAAAGUUUUUCGGCUGGGGAUGGGCCCGCGGCCUAUCAGCUUGUUGGUGGGGUGAUGGCCUACCAAGGCGACGACGGGUAGCCGGCCUGAGAGGGCGACCGGCCACACUGGGACUGAGACACGGCCCAGACUCCUACGGGAGGCAGCAGUGGGAAUAUUGCGCAAUGGGCGGAAGCCUGACGCAGCGACGCCGCGUGGGGAUGA